rnacentral:rRNA from 1 species
GUGCCAGCAGCGGCGGUAAUACGUAUGUCCCGAGCGUUAUCCGGAUUUAUUGGGCGUAAAGCGAGCGCAGACGGUUUAUUAAGUCUGAUGUGAAAGCCCGGAGCUCAACUCCGGAAUGGCAUUGGAAACUGGUUAACUUGAGUGCAGUAGAGGUAAGUGGAACUCCAUGUGUAGCGGUGGAAUGCGUAGAUAUAUGGAAGAACACCAGUGGCGAAGGCGGCUUACUGGACUGCAACUGACGUUGAGGCUCGAAAGUGUGGUAGCAAACAGGAUUAGAUACCCUGGUAGUCCACACCGUAAACGAUGAACACUAGGUGUUAGGAGUUUCCGCCUCUUAGUGCCGAAGCUAACGCAUU